UGAACCGGAUACCUGCUGCCUUCAGACGGCUGUAAACAGAUUCACCUGAGUAAAGGAAAAGCCUUCAGCGCUGACGACCUACUGACUGUCACUUCACUGAAUAAGAUGACUAAAGAAAAGUGUGCUGAGCAGGCCGGUGGUGGACCAUGCAACAUCCACACUACAGUGCACCACUGGUAUCUAUCACCAAACCGUCCUCUCCCUCUCUUCUCAUGGUGAGUCACCAAGACACCGAACACAGCGCUCCACAUGGAAAUACCAUGUUCCCUGGAGAACUCCUGCAUUUCACACCAUUCAUGGAAGCAGAGCCCUACGUUGGACCCCCAAAAAAGACAGCAUCAGGGGCUAUAUCUCCCCACCUAUACAACCGUCACAUGACUGAAGACCACAUGUGAUGAGAAACGAGCCAUCUCCAUGACAACUGCACAGACUCCAUCCAUUAAAGGCUGUUGACACUCCAGAAAAAACACCAGUGUUCUGGCACAUAGAAACUGAUGCUUUCUACACAUGGUAAUAAGCAGAGGAGCUGAGGACCUGGCUGGCAGCGUGGGUGGGGCUUAUACCUCUGCAUCUAUAAUGAAUGGAUUUUACAUAACCUGCUGAAGGGAAGAGCAAACUAAACAGACCCCAACCACCACCAGGGGCCCCACACAAGCACAUUACAAGGUCAUUUUCAGUAUCUAUUUAAUUAGAUAUCUAUUGAAUUUAUCUUUGCAUUUGCACCUUGUUCAUUCAACAACCAGGAGCAAUAAUGAACCAAGUGACAUACUUGCCUUGAAGUUGUAGACUAAAUACAGGCAAAUGAAUAUAUGUCCUCUUUCCUGUUGGUCUGUGUCAG